rnacentral:misc_RNA from 1 species
GCAGAUUUGAUAAAAACAAAGACCACUUUACAGACAGCAGUCUACUUAUCUGUUUUCAGUGUGAUAACAAGUAUCAUGCUCGGUGCAUAAGAAAUAAGGGUUUUCAAAAGCUGGAUUAUCAUCCUGUAGGAAGUUGGUUUUGCAAUAAGAGAUGUGAGCAGAUAUGUUUGGGUAUCCGCCAACUUUUGGCAAAGCCAGUUGUGGUGGGAAUUGAUAACCUCACUUGGACUUUAUUGAAAUACGUGAAACCUGAUGAUUUUGAUUCAGAUGCUGCUAAUGAUGAGUUCAUCUUGGAGACUUAUAGUAAACUUAGUGUCGCUCUGGAUGUGAUGCAUGAAUGCUUCGAGCCUGUCAAAGAACCUUACACAAGGAGAGAUCUUAUAGAAGAUGUUAUCUUUAAUAGAUGGUCAGAGCUGAAUCGCUUAAAUUUUCAGGGUUUCUAUACUGUGCUUCUGGAAAGAAAUGAUGAAGUUAUUUCAGUAGCAACUGUAAGGGUUUAUGGAGAAAAGGUAGCUGAGGUUCCUCUUGUAGCAACAAGAUUUCAGUACCGCCGACUUGGAAUGUGUCGCGUCUUAAUGAAUGAGCUUGAAAAGAAACUCUUGGAAUUAGGAGUUGAGAGGCUAGUUUUGCCUGCUGUACCAACUGUGCUAAACACAUGGACCACUUCAUUUGGUUUCUCACUGGUGAAAGAAUCUCAGAGGUUAAACUUCUUGAAUUACACUUUCCUUGAUUUCCAGGGUACAACAAUGUGUCAGAAACUUCUCCAGAAUAUCCCUCCAGAGGUAUCAAGUGAAUCAACAGAAGCUUAUCAAACUCAAUUUGACCACAUAAACAGCAAGGAGAAUGUUGAGUUGGAUGGAAACAGUGCGCUUUCUGAGGUCUUCCAAGCUGAGCAAAUUGAGGAGAGUGCAAUUGUGGACCAAGGAUCUACAGAUGCACCUGGAGGAUUUGAAAGCAAUAAUAAUACCGAUGCUCCAGCUCCUUUCAGUACU